CAGUCGCCGCGGGAACACGUAGGUGGCGAGCGUUGUCCGGAUUUAUUGGGCGUAAAGCGAGCGCAGGCGGUUAGAUAAGUCUGAAGUUAAAGGCUGUGGCUUAACCAUAGUACGCUUUGGAAACUGUUUAACUUGAGUGCAAGAGGGGAGAGUGGAAUUCUAUGUGUAGCGGUGAAAUGCGUAGAUAUAUGGAGGAACACCGGUGGCGAAAGCGGCUCUCUGGCUUGUAACUGACGCUGAGGCUCGAAAGCGUGGGGCGCAAACAGGAUUAGAUACCCCAGUAGUCCCUGUCUCUUAUACA
rnacentral:rRNA from 1 species